GGCAGUUAUUUUGCGCCUUGGUUUUUCUACACGCUUCUUGCGACCCUGUUGACUAUUUUGAAUGAAACGCUUGAUUGUGCGAUGAUCACGCUUCAGAAGCUUUGCAAUUUUAAGAGUGCUGCAUCCCUCUGCAAGAUAUCUCACUAUUUUUGACUUUUCUGAGCCUGUCAAGUCCUUCUUUUGACCCAUUUUGCCAAAGGAAAGGAAGUUGCCUUAUAAUUAUGCACACCUGAUAUAGGGUGUUGAUGUCAUUAGAC